rnacentral:rRNA from 1 species
UACGUAGGGCGCAAGCGUUGUCCGGAAUUAUUGGGCGUAAAGAGCUCGUAGGCGGCCUGUUGCGUCCGCUGUGAAAUCCCGGGGCCCAACCCCGGGCCUGCAGUGGAUACGGGCUGGCUGGAGGCAGGCAGGGGAGAACGGAAUUCCUGGUGUAGCGGUGAAAUGCGCAGAUAUCAGGAGGAACACCGGUGGCGAAGGCGGUUCUCUGGGCCUGUUCUGACGCUGAGGAGCGAAAGCGUGGGGAGCGAACAGG